AAGGCCUUAGUUUAAUAAAAAUGUCUGAUUUGCAAUCAGGAGAUGUGAGUUAGUUUCUCGUAGGUCUUA
rnacentral:tRNA from 1 species